ACUUGAACGGUUGCCCAAAGAUAUGAGAAGCAUGAUCAGCCUUAGGUUUUUGGCUGUAACAACAAAGUAUACGUGCUUGUUGGAGAAAGGUUCCUUGAAUUCUCUUCGGAUUUUUGUUGUGCAUGAUUGUCCAAGACUAGAAGUUUUGUUUCAAGGAAUGGACGGGUGCCUCCCCAACCUUCGGACACUGAUGAUAUGGGGGUGUCCAAGUUUGACCUCUUUGUCACUCAAUAUCAAGCACCUAACUGCCUUAGAGAACCUGGUAAUUGUUGAUUGUCCAAAGCUUAAUUGGAUUCUAGGAGAAGACAAUCAGGAUCUCAAGCUGAGCCUUCGAAAUUUGACGAUUGGUAAUUUAUCAAAGCUGAAGGUUUUGCCUCAAUGGCUCCAAGGAUCUACUAAUACUUUACAAAUCCUAGAAAUUGGAAAUUGUGAACAGUUCACGGCCUUGCCUGAGUGGUUGCCAACUUUCGAAUCACUUCACACACUUGUGAUUUUCAAUUGCCCCGAGAUGUCAUCUCUGCCGAAAGGGACACAUCGUCUCACUGCGCUAAGAAAAUUGGAGAUUAGAGACUGUCCUGAAUUGAUUAGGAAAUGCCAAGGGGAAGAUCAGCACAAGAUCGCUCAUGUACCAGAGGUUCUACUUUUAUGAGUAACAGGGAGUCAUUCAACGGAAGAAGAUAUUGAGGCAAACAACACUGGUGAAAAUAUAUGAGACAAGCCAGAUUUCUACCAACUUGAAGUAGCAGCUGCUUCCAUGCCACGAGUUUUGCACAAGAUGCAGUCAGUGCAAGCGCUUGCAAGUAAAUAUGUCCCUAUUCAUUAAAUCGAGAAUAUUUCUAUUAGUAUAAUUUGGAUUAAGAGAUGUAAAUAAAUAAGCAUUUCUAUCUAUCAUUGUAAUUCUGAUUAAGAUCAUGCAAACAAAUAUGCAUUUUUCAUUGUAAUUUCCACUGAGAAUGUAAAUAAAUUAAUGGGAUGACUUGUAUACUU